GGAAUCUGCCUGUCUCCAUCUCCACAAGGCUGGGGGCACGGAAAUGGAGAGUGAUGCACAGGCUUCUCUUCAUCUCCAAUAAUAACAAGCUAAGUAAAUUGGCAAGAAGCCCUCAUCUGCUUCGGUGAGUCAUACUUUGUAUUUCCUGAGUCCUCACUAGAUGACUUGCUCCCCCACCCCCACCCCCACCCCUGCCACCAUGGCCCUCGGAAAGGUAGCUGCACUGGCUAGUUUCAUGUUAACUUGACACAGGCUGGAGUCAUGUGAGAGGAGCGAGCGUCCCAUUGAGAAAACGCCUCCAUAUGAUCAGGUUGUAGGCAGGUAUGUAGGGCAUUCUCUUAAUUACAGAUGGAUGGGGAAGGGCCCGAUCUACUCGGGGUGGUGACACCCCUGGGCUGGUGGUCCUGGGCUCUAUAGAAAAAAAGAAGUCUGAGCAAGCCAUAGGGAGCAAGCCAGUCAGGAGCAUCCCUCCAUGGCCUCCAAGUCAGCUCCUGCCUCCAGAAUGCCGCCCUACCUGCUUUUGACAUUGGACUCCUACAGGGAACUGUGAGUGAAAGAGACCCCUUCCUUCCCACGAUACUUCUUUCUGGUCAUAGAAUUUCAGCAGAGCGACAGUCGCCCGAAGACAGUAGCAAUUAUGUUUGACCGAGAUGUAAUUCACUAGGAUACAAUUCUCCCUUUUAAAGUUUGUACCUUUGAGUAUGUCACAGAGCAGCAGAGCCUCACUGUGUGAGAAACCUCAUUACCUGAGAAAGCAGCCACCGCCUCUCUCACCGCACCAGGAGAUCCUUUCUUUCUGUAGGGUUACCAAUGCUAUAGACGCUUCACAUACAUGGACAAAUAUAUGUUCUUUGUACCUGA